rnacentral:misc_RNA from 1 species
UCUCCGUAGGUGAACCUGCGGAAGGAUCACUACAGGCUUGCAAAAGCGGUGAAACCACUGUUUAUCUACCUGAAUCUGCUUCGGCGAGCCGCCUCAUGGCGGGGACCGAGCCGACAGGCGCCCGUCGGAGAACCCUCAGCCUUAACGUUAUGAGGAUCACUGAGUUCAUAUACAAAACAAAAAAAACUUUCAACAACGGCUCUCUUGGCUCUGGAAUGGAUCAAAAAGGAAGCAAAUACGAAGAACCCCCAGCCUCACUUCAGCAACGCGUAACAAGCC